ACGCUCGACACCUACGGGAGACAGCAGUGGGGAAUAUUGCACAAUGGGGGAAACCCUGAUGCAGCGACGCCGCGUGAGCGAAGAAGUAUCUCGGUAUGUAAAGCUCUAUCAGCAGGGAAGAAGAUGACGGUACCUGACUAAGAAGCACCGGCUAAAUACGUGCCANCAGCCGCGGUAAUCUGAGCGGGCUGGCAAGGC
rnacentral:rRNA from 1 species